AUUGAACGCUGGCGGCAUGCCUUACACAUGCAAGUCGAACGGUAACGGGCCUUCGGGUGCCGACGAGUGGCGAACGGGUGAGUAAUACAUCGGAACGUGCCCGAUCGUGGGGGAUAACGAGGCGAAAGCUUUGCUAAUACCCCAUACGAUCUACGGAUGAAAGCAGGGGACCGCAAGGCCUUGCGCGGGCGGAGCGGCCGAUGGCAGAGUGGGUAGUUGGUGGGAGAAAAGCUUACCAAGGCGACGGUCUGUAGCUGGUCUGAGAGGAUGACCAGCCACACUGGGAGUGAGACACGGCCCAGACUCCUACGGGAGGCAGCAGUGGGGAAUUUUGGACAAUGGGCGCAAGCCUGAUCCAGCCAUGCCGCGUGCAGGAUGAAGGCCUUCGGGUUGUAAACUGCUUUUGUACGGAACGAAAAGCCUUCUUUUAAUACAGGAGGGUCAUGACGGUACCGUAAGAAUAAGCACCGGCUAACUACGUG
rnacentral:rRNA from 1 species